ensembl:lncRNA
AUAUUGUCUUUCUUGUUCACUUUUGAUUUUCUUAAAUAUAUUAUUCAUACUUGUUUAUCCUAAAGGAAAGAAUUUAAGCAUUUCAGUACUUCUAAUAAUUGUCUGAAAGAUAUUGCAGGCAUAUUCUAGACAAUAUCAUAUUUACAAAGACAACAAUGUAUAACAAAUGUAUAUGUUAGAUAUACACAUCAUUUUGGUAUACAUAUUUAAAUAUUGUUGCUUAUACAUACAUAAAUUGCUUACCUACUAUAUUUGCCAGAAGGUCAUAUUGUUUCCUUCUUUAAAGGAGCCAUUUGUAAGAUUUACAACACACCAUACAAAAACAGAAACAUGCUUAUUAUAAAGGGUAUUUGAAAAUGAGUAACUCCCAAAUAGUUGGUUAUUGUCUGUGGUUUUAUGCUCAACGUAAUUUUAUAUUGUUUAUUGCGGUUAGGUCGUUGUGUAGCAUUGCAAAUCCCAAAGGAAUGAAAGCUCUGGAGAAUUAAAAUAAGUAUAGCCAUUGCUUAUCAGUGAUUGUAGAAUAUACAGACUGAUAUUGACCUGAAAGAGCAAGCUGUUAUUUAUUUUCCUGGACAGGUAAGCUGUACAUCCACUUAGGUUAUUUUCCUGGACAGGUAAGCUGUACAUCCACUUAGGUGGCAAGCUAGAAGCAAAAAGCAUUUAUUGAUUUGGUUAUAGGUGUAUCACUGAUUGGGUACGCUAUAAAAAUGGGAAAUACAAACAACGCAUUGUAUACAUUAGCUAGUAUGCCAAGCUAGCUAGUUAUUAAAUGGUUGAUUAAGUCCUAAGGCUAAACCUAAGAAGCUAUAUUAUUGUCUUGUGACACUAGCCUAGUGCACUUAUACAAUACAAAUGUUGUUUGCUCAAUUAUGCUUAAUACCAGUGCUAGGAUAGGCUAUAUAAGAGAAUUCCAAACCAAAUGUUGUAUAACAUUAAAUUGCCAAGUGCGCUAGUUGUUAUUUAUUUCUUAUCUAGUUAGCUCCUAAGGCUGUCUAGACUCAAUAAUACAAAUGAAAUAGUUUUUGUUUAUCCCGCUGUAAACAGUAGAGGGCUAAACUUACAAAUGUCUCCUUUAAGUGUGUAGUUGUUGGAAAAUAUGUCUUUCCUAUUAUCAUGCAUGUUGGUUUGGGAAGAAAAAUAUAACAUUGUUAUAAGUAUAAAGAUUAUAAGUAUAAAAAGCAAAUGUUGUUAUAUAUACACUGCUGCUUGAAAGUAUGUGAACCCUACAGGGAGGUCAUUGUUUUUGUUAAAAAUGUAAAAAUAUAAUCCUUAUCUAAAUAAAGUCAUUAAUCAGGCUCAGACAUCUUUUUAGACGUAUUUUUGCCCACUCCUUGUUACAGAACUCAACUAAUUGAGUGAGGUUUGAGGGGUGUCUGGCAUGUACUACUCGCUUCAGGUCCUGCCACAGCAUCUUCAUUGAAUUAAGGUGCCAUUAAUAGAGGUAACGAGUGGAGGACAUAGGAACCUCUUAAAGAAGAAGUUACAGGUACAUAGAACAAUUCUUAGGACGAGCAUUCAUCUCCUCAAUAAGUACCCAAUGGGCCUCAUUCACCAACCAUUCUUAAGAUGAAAUUCCUUCUUCAAACCCACCUACACAGUUCCCAUGAAGAUUCUGCCAUUCACUAAUGUUUUCUUAUUUGGGAUUUGUUCUCAGGCAGGCAGUACACGUAUCUCUGUUCUCGCACCAGCAGGCUCCGGAACAGUUUCUUUCCAUCUGCUAUAACCCUGCUGAACUCUGUGACUUUCCAUCACUAUGCCCACACUUUGUACUACUGGACUCUGUCACUGCCUAAUAAGUCUGAUAAGAUUUUUCAGUUUAUGUGUCAUUGCUGCUAUUCCUGUAUUUCACUUGCACAUGCAGACUUGCACCUUAAACUUAUACUUGCACCGUAAACCUGCCCUCAUUGCACAUUUAGAACUGCCACUGUCUUUGCAUUUUUAAUUGUUACAUACACAUGUCUAACUCGGGAACCUGAUUGCUGCUAUCCCUGCAUUUCAGUUGCACAUGCUACACUACUCCUUCAGUUUGCUUCGAUUGUAAAUUCAGAAUGCCAUUGAGAAUUGCCACAACUAUUUAUCUCACUUGUACAUACAUUAUACUUAAUACCUGUACAUUUAGAAUAGCCAAAUGUAAUGCAUUUGCAUUGACUGCACCCCUGUACAUUCCACUUGUAUACACAUAAACAUAAUACUUUUUUUCUGCACUCCUCUCUUUGCACUUCUGGUAAGACGCAAACUGCAUUUCGUUGUACUGUACUUGUACUGUUUUAUGACAAUAAAGUUUAAAUCUAAAACUGAAUUUUCUAUAUCGGUCAAGUACAUCAAUAGAUCAUCUGCAAAUAUGUUUAGUUAAAUUCAUGCUAACCAACUUUGGUUGGUUCUGUGAGAGGUUCAAUAGCUAAUGCAAACGAGAGAGACAGGACAUCCCUGUCUUGUACCUCUUUCUAAAGAUAAUGUAUUUGUCAUGGAUGAGGGACAGGACAUGAGUCGCAGAAUGAGUACAUGUAGUCAUUCCUUUAAUCAUCUUACAUCCACUAACAAAAAUAACAAAGGAAAGAAUAAACAUAAACUGAGGAAAACCACACAAACAAUGACCAACAACUGAAAGGCAAACAUAACAACUUAAAUAGGGUCCCCAAUUUGAGACAUUGAGACGCAGCUGUUUCUAAUUGGGGAGAACAGAAAACAGUACAGCAGAGAUGCCUAGAGGCAUCCACGG